AUUUCACAUAGAGGUCGCGAUUGACAAUACACUUACCGGAGUUGCUGUAGCAAUUGAUAGUAAGCUUAGGGGAUAUCGCCGAAAUCAAGGGUGUCUACAAAUGACCUUGAUUGGGCUAAUAGUUAAGAGCUAUUAGACUGUCGCAGAGAUGCGGUGAGCUAUGGAAACU
rfam:Leuconostoc mesenteroides subsp. mesenteroides ATCC 8293, complete genome.